GAAAGCCUGAAAGUAUUAGAAAAACAAUGCAAGCUGUGAAAGAAAAGAUAGUAAGUUUGAAUGCUACACGCAAGACAAGACAAGAAGCAAAGGCCGAAGAAAGGGCCGAGAAAGAGAUAGCGAAAGCUAGAAUGGAUGUGGCUCGUGAGAUUAGGUUGGCGAAAGAAGCAGAAGCAGAAAUGGAUCUUCAUGUAGCAAAUACAGGAAAAAAGGGUUAACCAAGAAAUAUAUAAGUUCACUGCUAAUAAUCCCAAUCUGGUUGAAGAAGUAAGUCUCAUGGAUGAGGCAACAAAACCAAAACACGCAA